CCAGUAACCAGCAGGUAGUCUAGUGGUUAGAGCGUUGGGUCAGUAACCAGCAGGUAGUCUAGUGGUUAGAGCGUUGGGUCAGUAACCAGCAGGUAGCCUAGUGGUUAGAGCGUUGGGCCAGUAACCAGC